rnacentral:rRNA from 1 species
GACGAACGCUGGCGGCGUGCCUAAUACAUGCAGGUAGAACGCUGAAGAGAGGAGCUUGCUCUUCUUGGAUGAGUUGCGAACGGGUGAGUAACGCGUAGGUAACCUGCCUUGUAGCGGGGGAUAACUAUUGGAAACGAUAGCUAAUACCGCAUAACACUGGAUGACACAUGUCAUUUAUUUGAAAGGGGCAAUGGCUCCACUACAAGAUGGACCUGCGUUGUAUUAGCUAGUAGGUGAGGUAAUGGCUCACCUAGGCGACGAUACAUAGCCGACCUGAGAGGGGGGUAGGCCACACGGGGGCGGAGACACGGCCCAGAGGCCUGCGGGAGGCAGCAGUAGGGAAUGUUCGGCAAUGGGGGCGACCCUUACAGAGCGAGGCCGCGUGAGUGAAGAAGGUUCUCGGAUCGUAAAGCUCUGUUGUAAGUUGAGAACGGGUGUGAGAGAGGAAAGUUCACACUGUGACGGUAGCUGAUCAGAAAGGGACGGCUAACUACGUG